AUAAAUAAAUUAAACGUUUUCUAGAUCAAUUAAAUGUAAUUCAGAAAAUUACUCUUGGCCAUGUUAUUUGUGCUACUACAAAUGUGGAUCACGUACAAAGUGACAUUUUUAAAUUAGUCGAUCACAAUUUAUUUCCAACAAGCAAGCUAAAAUGUGACGAGUUCUAUUUAGAUUUUAAGGAAUGGCAAGAAUCAAAUGACUCUACAGAGUUGUAAUCAAAUCAAGUUAAUUUACUACAGAUGAUUUACUACUUAUAGUUUUUAUAAUUUUUUUUUUACCUCCUUAUUUUAAAAUACAAUAAAUUAUUACAUUGGAA